rnacentral:lncRNA from 1 species
GCCUCUGUCUGAAAACAAACCAUUGGAGCCUUGGCCCUGAACAAUUUCACGUCACGGGAAUGAUACAGGCUGCCUGCCGCUGAAGCUCCAAAGCGGGGGUCAAGGCAGGGCCAAGGGUCUGCUGAGGCUGGGUGAGGACGCGAUGGAAGGAGAUUGGUGCCAGCUGGAAGAGAUGGAGCUGCUCCUUCAGCCAUGAUCGCAAAAUGAAGAUGAUGUGUGAAGAAGAGCCACAGCCGACCUGUGGUCAAUGUGUAAGGACCUGGCCUGAGGGAAGGAGGAGGCACCUUUGACUGAAACAGGACCAACAGCAGGAGCAGCAGGUUUGGAUGGAGAAGCAAGUCUGGGUCCGGACCUAAUUGCUCGCUUCUGUGUGUCUCGCGGUCAACACACUAAAUUUCUUGAGAGUUGGGACCAGUUCUAGGCACUUUUUUUCACUCAAGGGCUGAAAUAUCUGUUGAAAGAAUAAAUAAGUGAAUGGAUAACUCCAGUAGGCCUGUUACAUUUCCUUGGAGUUCAUCCCAUUGAUGCUACGGUUUUCCAACUUCUGGAUCCAAAAGAAUCACCCGGAAGCUGGUAUAAUUCAGCCAAUCUGAGUCUGUUCCUUGUUCUUCCCUCCCCCACUGAAAACAUAAAUAGUAGCAUUGUUCUGCCUCCUUCCUGUUUUUUUUACUUUGCAAGAUAUCCUGGUGAUCUUUCCACAGAAGGACAUAGCAAGCUUCCCCACUCAUUCAUUCAUUCAUUCAUUCAUUCCUUCAUUUAUUCACAGCCGCGCAGCAUUCCAUUGCAUGCACACACCAUGAAUUUUGAACCUGUCCUCAGGGCAUGGGCCUUUACAGUGUUUUCACCUCUUUCUUGCAAACUGUACUGCCCUGAGUGGCUGUGUCCGUGCCA